rnacentral:tRNA from 2 species
GCACCCGUAGCUCAGUCGGUAGAGCAAAUGACUCUUAAUCAUUGGGUCCACAGUUCGAAUCUGUGCGGGUGUACCA